ensembl:processed_transcript
AAAUAACCUAAUGGGUGAUGAUAUAUUCUGUUAUUACUUCAAACUGUUCCAGGGCUAUGCAAAUUUACAAGUGAACGAGCCCCAAAUUCGAGAGGGUAUGAAGAGGGUAGAGCCACAGUCCGAGGAUGACCUCUUCCCUUGCACGUGCCAUAGGAGAAAGGCCAAAGAUGAACUCUGAGAAGCAAAAUAUCUUCUGCUUAAAUGAUGGUGCUCUGAAGACACUUUACUCUAAGGAUUUUGAAUGUGCUCAUUCCUAGUUUGGGGUCAUAUCCUUGUCUGACAACUCACCUCUGACAACAGAAUCUGCUUUUCAGAGAGGUGCCCUUUGCUUCUCAGAUGUAGUGCACCUUACGCUUAUUUUUCAACAGUGAAAAUGAGUCACACAGAGGUACCUUCCUUGUGUUGAAAUUUUCCUUCUANGAUCCUCUGUAGAGCUGGAUUGGUUAAAUUAAAAAUACCUUUUGGAAAUAAAUUACUGGAUGCCGUUUGUUUGGUACCUAACAAGAACAUCGCAUAUGGAAUAAUUCUUACACAUGGAGCAUCAGGAGAUAUGAAUCUUCCUCAUCUGAUG